GACGUAGGGCGCGAGCGUUGUCCGGAUUUAUUGGGCGUAAAGAGCUCGUAGGCGGUUUGUUGCGUCGGCUGUGAAAUCCCGCGGCUCAACUGCGGGUCUGCAGUCGAUACGGGCAGGCUAGAGUUCGGUAGGGGGAGACUGGAAUUCCUGGUGUAGCGGUGGAAUGCGCAGAUAUCAGGAGGAACACCAAUAGCGAAGGCAGCUCGCUGGGACGGUACUGACGCUAAGGCGCGAAAGCGUGGGGAGCGAACAGG
rnacentral:rRNA from 1 species